AUGUGGCAUUUUGCUGUGUGAUAAAACUGCACAUUUUAGAGUGGUCUUUUACUGUGAUCAGUCCAAGGCACACGUGCGUUUUAUUGCAGCUUAAU